rnacentral:rRNA from 1 species
GAUGAACGCUGGCGGCGUGCUUAACACAUGCAAGUCGAACGAAGCACUUUAUUUGAUUUCCUUCGGGACUGAUUAUUUUGUGACUGAGUGGCGGACGGGUGAGUAACGCGUGGGUAACCUGCCUUGUACAGGGGGAUAACAGUUGGAAACGGCUGCUAAUACCGCAUAAGCGCACAGCAUCGCAUGAUGCAGUGUGGAAAACUCUGGUGGUAUAAGAUGGACCCGCGUUGGAUUAGCUAGUUGGUGAGGUAACGGCCCACCAAGGCGACGAUCCAUAGCCGACCUGAGAGGGUGACCGGACACAUUGGGAGUGAGACACGGCACAAACUCCUACGGGAGGAAGCAGUGGGGAAUAUUGCACGAUGGGCGAAAGGAUGAUGCAGCAACGCCGCGUGAGCGAAGAAGUAUUUCAGUAUGUAAAGCUCUAUCAGCAGGGAAGAUAAUGACGGUACCUAACUAAGAAGCAACGGCUAAAUACGUG